rnacentral:lncRNA from 1 species
UGAUACAAUUUACAUUAUUAAAUCUAAAAUUUCAUACUUGGUUGAAGAAUAGAGAGAAGAGAUUGGGGAAGAAGGAUUUAUAUGGAUUGAAGAAUGGAGAACUGAGAUUGAAAAUUGGAUAUUUGGGAAGGGUUUAUUUAGGCUGAUUUAUAUGAGAAAAAAAUAUUUUAGUUCAAAAAGUGAGAGAUAACAUAGAGAAAGG